rnacentral:lncRNA from 1 species
AUGGAGGCGCCUCUGAAGGCUCUUUUUGGGGUAACGGAAGAGAGCCUUCUGAUAUCCCUGGUUGAGGGUCACUCCAACCACACCUCCUCCUCCAGCUCCUCCGAGUUGAGCUGUGCUAUCGUGGGGGAGGUGGUACACCAGCUUAACUCUGGCCUCUCAGUGGCCAUUCAGGCCAGCCCGGGGAGUUGCCCCCCUAUGGACAGUCAGGACAUAGCAGCAGGCAAGGAGGUCAUUCGGGUAGCCUCGGUUCAGAUCCUGGCCGAGCUACAGAGCCAAACAUCUGAGCCAGAGUGGGUAGGGUUUAUCGAGCCCCUCAUGGACCCUGUGACCGAUGAUGUGCUGGAGGCCAUUGUCGGCACAAUGGACAAAAUGGCACAGGACUUCAACAUCCUAUUGGAUCUGGCCAAGAAGAUGACAAUCUUGGGGUCUAAAUUUCUGACCAAUCUUCAAUGUGACCUAGAUGUUGAGUGUCCAUCUGGGAAGGAAGGGACCACUCACUUUCUCAAAGAGACUGGAUCCUCUACCAGUGUGGCGUCCAGAAAGAUUCAGACCCUCUCUAGCCCCGACUUUCAGUCUAAAGCCCUGAAGGCGGUGAGCACCAUCCUUACAAGGAAAGUCAGCAGCUCUUCUGGCAUGGCUCCUUCCUCUAGGCCUUCUAGUGCUGCUCCUAGCCUUACUGAAGCCCCGCUGAAUACCAGCUGCACAGCCCUGACAUCUGUAACCUCCACUGCCACAGUGAUUGUUAAGGCAUUUGUGGGAGGCAUGGAGACGAUAGCAUCAUUUGAAGACACAUGUGAAGCAGUUGAUUGGCCAGUUCCUGUAAAUGACCACAAAACAGGGUCUUCACAGAAGAUAACCUUCUCUCUAGCCGGCACACUCUAUGGCCGUAUACGAGCAAAGCUGAGGGACCUUUUAACUCUAGCCGCUCGAGAAGAAGGUGUGGCAAAGGAUGCUUCUCUUCGGGAGUCUUCAGACACCCUGGAAAAGGCAACUGUUUCAACUGUUGAGGUCCAGUUACCCAGCACCGAACACAGUAGAGUUCCCAGAGAGAGCCAACCAAUACCAGCUCUCUGUCUCUCCAAUCUGGAUACCAGUACUCAAGAAGUUCUUAGCAGUGUUUUUUCCAUCUACAAGUCAGAGUUAUCAAAAGUGGAGAGUAAAUCCUUAGCCGUUGUCAGUUCAUCUGAUGAGUCCCUAGAGGCUUGUUGGUUUGUUGAUGGUGUCCUAUCAAAGCUUGAUGACUAUACUAUUUCCCAGUCACCCUCACCCAAUGAAGACUUGAGCGUGAGUACUCAAUAUUCUCAACUGAGCUCAGAAGAGAGUGUCAGAAUCACAGAGUCCUCAACUAGUCUGAUUCAGAGCAUUAAGAAGCUCUCUAGCAAUGACUUUCAGACUCAGGCAGAAGAGGCAGUGAGUAAAGUGCUGAUGAGAUCCAGUCAUUCCUUUAUCACAGAAAUCAGCCAUACUGGUCUUCAGAAAAGUCUGCAGAAUGGCUUAUCAUCUAGCUCACCAUCAGAGAUCCAUGUCCUUUCAGAAUCCAUGUCCUCCAUGUCCUCUGAGAAUACAGCCUCUGGAUUAGUGGAAACCUUUGUCAAAGGAAUGGCGACUAUUUUCCAGAAAAAUGAGUCCACUGACACUGUGCUACUGGAAAGAAGUGGGAGAGUUUCACAGUGCUUCCACGGGGGCUCCCAACUGGAUUAUACUGAAUUGAGUGUUAAAAUAUCAGAGGAGAAGCUUUGGUCAACAGCUAAGAACAUCUGCGUCAGUAUGAAGAACACACUUAAGGAUUUCUUCACAGGGCUGAAGCCAUCCGGAUCCGAAAGGACAGAAAUGGCUCCUUCCAAAGAGACCCUUGGGGAAAUCCUGGUUGCUAUCCAGAGUGAAAUCUCAAACUUCGGGCGAAUGAAGGAUUCCAGGGAGCUCCUUCAGAUCAAUGAUAUGGUAGGAACUAUGCUGAAGGAGAUUGAGAAAAGUGAGGAUGACAGUGAACAAGUCUGCCAAGACAUCCCUCGAACCUGUUCAUCUUUAUCCACUUCUUUAAAUGGUCGUAGUUCCUUGUCCAGCUCUUCAAAGGGUCCUAGGUCAGAGUGUGAGUUAGAGAUCAACCUCCCUGGCACUCCCAUCCCUGACGAAGUGCCUUUUGAUCUGACCUGCCCCAUCGUCAGGAGCUCCUGCAUCGACACCAGGGACUCUAAAAUGCCAGAGAUUUCUACAAGUGACCUAAAGACAAAGAUGAUGGCACACACAGAUGAACCCCUGCAUCGUAACAGUCCAAUGACUGACAGCAGCCGACCACCGAGUGCUAAAGUCUCUUUUCGAUCCUGCACUCCGUCUUUCACCAGCAAGGGAACCUCUUUGGUACCAAAGGGAGAGGGGAUUGACAUUGAAGAGAAGGAGGUGUGUAUCCCCAGCAGCUCUGGCCAUCUGAGGGAGCUCUUAAUCAUCCCGGACAUCAGCAGUGCCACUGCAUUCCCACUGCAGUACUUGAUGGACUCCAGCAAAGAUGAUGGCAUCUGUUUUGUCACCAUACUGGUGAUAAGGUUGCUAUCGGAGAUCAGACCCACAGCCCUAGAUGGACCCUCCCAACAGGCAGCAGAUCUGACAGAAACAUCUCAGCAACUCAUCAGACAAGUCCUGUCUGAGUUCUGUGCUCCAUCUAGAUUAUCCAGGACACAGGCAUAUUCCCAGAACCUGAACAUCCAAAGGGUGUUCAGAGGUGUACAUAAAAACCUCAUGGAGGAGUUUGGCUCUUAUAACACCCUGCAAGCAGCUAUGUCCUCCCAGGACCCUGCAUUUGACAGAGUCCUGGUAAAGUCCUUGACCCAGCAGCUGGUACAGGGAUGCAAGGAGGCGUCAAGACCAGCUUCUGCUGCAACAAACCCAUCAGACCAGGCUGAGAUGGAGAGGGGGGCUGAGCAGAAAGCAAGAAGGAGCUUCCUUUGCUUUUCAAUGACCAAACUCAGGAUCAACUUCAAGCGUUCCAAGAGAGGAAACAAAAAGGACUGCCAUUCAGUCCAAGACCAGACUGAGAUUCCCUCUACUGAUGGACAUUGCAUAGCUCCAGUUGGAGAGGUUUCUCCCUCCAUAUCUCAGCCUGUCAAAAAACGAUCCUUGAUUGUCAGGGUCUUUUCAGCAAUGAUGAAGCCAUUCAGGCGCUUCACCAAGAAGAACCUGUAACCUGUUACGCUGCAUGAAGAACUACUUUUGUAACAGCAAGACUUUUGACAAGAGGAAUUUCUGCAUGUCUAACCUUUCAAAGUCUAUUUGAUCAAAUAAAUGCCAAUGAUUUUACAAGAAUUUCAAGUGUUUUGGAAGAUUGAUAAUACUGAAGCAGAUUUUCUCAGAGAAAUGCACUAGUUCCCCCUUGGUUACACAUUUAUUGUUCAGCUUUUGAGUUGGCAGGACAUAGGGCGUCAGGUAGCCUUGUGGUUAGAGCAUUGGGCCAGUAACCGAAAGAUUGCUAGCGUCAGAUCCCUGAGCUGGCCAUGUAAAAAUAUGUCAUUCUGCUCCUGAACAAGGUAGUUAACCCACUGUUCCUAAGCUGUCAUUGUAAAUAAGAAUUUGUUCUAAACUGACUUGUCUAGUAAAAUAAGGAAAAUAACCACAGCUUGACUCUAAUACAAUAGUUGCUGCAUAGACUGUCAGAUAACCAGAUGUUCUCUAUUAAUUUAGUUAGAUUGGUAAGAGCUUAUUAGCAGCAAGGGAAAACACAUAGAGGAGAAUUAGCUAUCUGCAGCUAGAUCAACCCUCUGAGAUCCUUUCUAUAUUUUUUGAAUAUUUUUUUUUAUUUCACCUUUAUUUAACCAGGUAGGCAAGUUGAGAACAAGUUCUCAUUUACAAUUGCGACCUGGCCAAGAUAAAGCAAAGCAGUUCGACACACAACGACACAGAGUUACACAUGGAGUAAAACAAACAUACAGUCAAUAAUACAGUAUAAACAAGUCUAUAUACGAUGUGAGCAAAUGAGGUGAGAGAAGGGAUGUAAAGGCAAAAAAAGGCCAUGGUGGCAAAGUAAAUACAAUAUAGCAAGUAAAAUACUGGAAUGGUAGAUUUGCAGUGGAAGAAUGUGCAAAGUAGAAGUAAAAAAUAAUGGGGUGCAAAGGAGCUAAAUAAAUAAAUAAAAUAAAUACAGUAGGGAAAGAGGUAGUUGAUUGGGCUAAAUUAUAGGUGGGCUAUGUACAGGUGCAGUAAUCUGUGAGCUGCUCUGACAGUUGGUGCUUAAAGCUAGUGAGGGAGAUAAGUGUUUCCAGUUUCAGAGAUUUUUGUAGUUCGUCCCAGUCAUUGGCAGCAGAGAACUGGAAGGAGAGGCGGCCAAAGAAAGAAUUGGUUUUGGGAGUGACCAGAGAGAUAUACCUGCUGGAGCGCGUGCUACAGGUGGGUGAUGCUAUGGUGACCAGCGAGCUGAGAUAAGGGGGGACUUUACCUAGCAGGGUCUUGUAGAUGACAUGGAGCCAGUGGGUUUGGCGACGAGUAUGAAGCGAGGGCCAGCCAAUGAGAGCGUACAGGUCGCAAUGGUGGGUAGUAUAUGGGGCUUUGGUGACAAAACGGAUUGCACUGUGAUAGACUGCAUCCAAUUUGUUGAGUAGGGUAUUGGAGGCUAUUUUGUAAAUGACAUUGCCGAAGUCGAGGAUUGGUAGGAUGGUCAGUUUUACAAGGGUAUGUUUGGCAGCAUGAGUGAAGGAUGCUUUGUUGCGAAAUAGGAAGCCAAUUCUAUAUUUAACUUUGUAUUGGAGAUGUUUUAUGUAGGUCUGGAAGGAGAGUUUACAGUCUAACCAGACACCUAGGUAUUUGUAGUUGUCCACGUAUUCUAAGUCAGAGCCGUCCAGAGUAGUGAUGUUGGACAGGCGGGCAGGUGCAGGCAGCGAUCGGUUAAAGAGCAUGCAUUUAGUUGUACUUGUAUUUAAGAGCAAUUGGAGGCCACGGAAGGAGAGUUGUAUGGCAUUGAAGCUUGCCUGGAGGGUUGUUAACACAGUGUCCAAAGAAGGGCCAGAAGUAUACAGAAUGGUGUCGUCUGCGUAGAGGUCAGGAUCAGAGACUCACCAGCAGCAAGAGCGACAUCAUUGAUGUAUACAGAGAAGAGAGUCGGUCCAAGAAUUGAACCCUGUGGCACCCCCAUAGAGACUGCCAGAGGUCCGGACAGCAGACCCUCCGAUUUGACACACUGAACUCUAUCAGAGAAGUAGUUGGUGAACCAGGCAAGGCAAUCAUUUGAGAAACCAAGGCUGUCGAGUCUGCCGAUAAGGAUGUGGUGAUUGACAAAGUCGAAAGCCUUGGCCAGAUCAAUGAAUACGGCUGCACAGUAAUGUUUCUUAUCGAUGGCAGUUAAGAUAUCGUUUAGGACCUUGAGCGUGGCUGAGGUGCACCCAUGACCAGCUCUGAAACCAGAUUGCAUAGCAGAGAAGGUAUGGUGAGAUUCGAAAUGGUCGGUAAUCUGUUUGUUGACUUGGCUUUCGAAGACCUUAGAAAGGCAGGGUAGGAUAGAUAUAGGUCUGUAGUAGUAUGGGUCAAGAUUGUCCCCCUCUUUGAAGCUGCUUUCCAAUCUUUGGGAAUCUCAGACGACACGAAAGAAAGGCUAGUAAUAGGGGUGGCAACAAUUUCGGCAGAUAAUUUUAGAAAGAAAGGGUCCAGAUUGUCUAGCCCGGCUGAUUUGUACGGGUCCAGAUUUUGCAGCUCUUUCAGAACAUCAGCUGACUGGCUGACUGGAUUUGGGAGAAGGAGAAAUGGGGAAGGCUUGGGCGAGUUGCUGUGGGGGGUGCAGUGCUGUUGACCGGGGUAGGAGUAGCCAGGUGGAAAGCAUGGCCAGCCGUAGAAAAAUACUUAUUGAAAUUCUCAAUUAUAGUGGAUUUAUCAGUGGUGACAGUGUUUCCUAUCUUCAGUGUAGUGGGCAGCUGGGAUGAGGUGUUCUUAUUCUCCAUGGACUUUACAUUGUCCCAGAACUUUUUUGAGUUGGUGUUGCAGGAAGCAAAUUUCUGCUUGAAAAAGCUAGCCUUGGCCUCCCGGGUGGCGCAGUGGUUAAGGGCGCUGUACUGCAGCGCCAUCAGAGUCCCUGGGUUCGCGCCCAGGCUCUGUCGUAACCGGCUGCGACCGGGAGG